AUUGAACGCUGGCGGCAGGCCUAACACAUGCACGUCGAACGAGUGGCGGACGGGUCAGUAAUGUCUGGGACACUGCCUGAUGGAGGGGGAUAACUACUGGAAACGGUAGCUAAUACCGCAUACCAUCAGAUGUGCCCAGAUUGGAUUAGCUAGUUGGUGGUGUAAAGGCUCACCAAGGCGACGAUCCCUAGCUGGUCUGAGAGGGUGACCGGCCACACUGGAACUUAGACACGGUCCAGACUCCUACGGGAGGCAGCAGUGGGGAAUAUUGCACAAGGGGCGCAAGCCUGAUGCAGCCAUGCCGCGUGUGUGAAGAAGGCCUUCGGGUUGUAAAGUACUUUCAUCGGGGAGGCGUUACCCGCAGAAGAAGCACCGGCUAACUCCGUGCCAGCAGCCGCGGUAAUAC
rnacentral:rRNA from 1 species